rnacentral:rRNA from 1 species
AGUGGCGAACGGGUGAGUAAUAUAUCGGAACAUGUCCGGAAGUGGGGGAUAGCUCGGCGAAAGCCGGAUUAAUACCGCAUAUGCCUGAGGGGGAAAGGAGGGGAUCCGCAAGGACCUUUCGCUUUCGGAGUGGCCGAUAUCGGAUUAGCUAGUUGGUGAGGUAAAGGCUCACCAAGGCGACGAUCCGUAGCUGGUCUGAGAGGACGACCAGCCACACUGGAACUGAGACACGGUCCAGACUCCUACGGGAGGCAGCAGUGGGGAAUUUUGGACAAUGGGGGAAACCCUGAUCCAGCCAUGCCGCGUGAGUGAAGAAGGCCUUCGGGUUGUAAAGCUCUUUCAGACGGAAAGAAACGGUCACGGCUAAUACCUGUGACUAAUGACGGUACCGUCAGAAGAAGCACCGGCUAACUACGUGCCAGCAGCCGCGGUAAUACGUAGGGUGCGAGCGUUAAUCGGAAUUACUGGGCGUAAAGCGUGCGCAGGCGGUUUUGUAAGACAGAUGUGAAAUCCCCGGGCUUAACCUGGGAACUGCAUUUGUGACUGCAAGACUAGAGUACGGCAGAGGGGGGUAGAAUUCCACGUGUAGCAGUGAAAUGCGUAGAUAUGUGGAGGAAUACCGAUGGCGAAGGCAGCCCCCUGGGUCGAUACUGACGCUCAUGCACGAAAGCGUGGGGAGCAAACAGGAUUAGAUACCCUGGUAGUCCACGCCCUAAACGAUGUCAACUAGGUGUUGGGGAAGGAGACUUCUUUAGUACCGCAGCUAACGCGAUAA